UCUUGACAUCCAGCGAACUUUCCAGAGAUGGAUUGGUGCCUUCGGGAACGCUGAGACAGGUGCUGCAUGGCUGUCGUCAGCUCGUGUUGUGAAAUGUUGGGUUAAGUCCGCAACGAGCGCAACCCUUAUCCUUUGUUGCCAGCGAUUCGGUCGGGAACUCAAAGGAGACUGCCGGUGAUAAACCGGAGGAAGGUGGGGAUGACGUCAAGUCAUCAUGGCCCUUACGAGUAGGGCUACACACGUGCUACAAUGGCGCAUACAAAGAGAAGCGACCUCGCGAGAGCAAGCGGACCUCAUAAAGUGCGUCGUAGUCCGGAUCGGAGUCUGCAACUCGACUCCGUGAAGUCGGAAUCGCUAGUAAUCGUGGAUCAGAAUGCCACGGUGAAUACGUUCCCGGGCCUUGUACACACCGCCCGUCACACCAUGGGAGUGGGUUGCAAAAGAAGUAGGUAGCUUAACCUCCGGGAGGGCGCUUACCACUUUGUGAUUCAUGACUGGGGUGAAGUCGUAACAAGGUAGGCGUACGUGU
rnacentral:rRNA from 1 species